rnacentral:rRNA from 1 species
AACGAACGCUGGCGGCAUGCCUAACACAUGCCAGUCGAACGAGACCUUCGGGUCUAGUGGCGCACGGGUGCGUCACGCGUGGGAACCUGCCCUUAGGUUCGGAAUAACUCCCCGACAGGGGUGCUAAUACCGGAUAAUGUCUUCGGACCAAAGAUUUAUCGCCUUUGGAUGGGCCCGCGUUGGAUUAGCUAGUUGGUAGGGUAAAAGCAUACCAAGGCGACGAUCCAUAGCUGGUAUGAGAGGAUGAUCAGCCACACUGGGACGGAGACACGGCCCAGACUCCUACGGGAGGGGGGAGAGGGGAAUAGUGGAAAAUGGGGGAAGGCCUGAUCCAGCAAUGCCGGGUGAGUGAUGAAGGCCUUAGGGUUGUAAAGCUCUUUUACCCGGGAUGAUAAUGACAGUACCGGGAGAAUAAGCCCCGGCUAACUCCGUG